UGGGGAAUAUUGCACAAUGGGCGCAAGCCUGAUGCAGCCAUGCCGCGUGUGUGAAGAAGGCCUUCGGGUUGUAAAGCACUUUCAGCGAGGAGGAAGGGUUCAGUGUUAAUAGCACUGUUCAUUGACGUUACUCGCAGAAGAAGCACCGGCUAACUCCGUGCCAGCAGCCGCGGUAAUACGGAGGGUGCAAGCGUUAAUCGGAAUUACUGGGCGUAAAGCGCACGCAGGCGGUUUGUUAAGUCAGAUGUGAAAUCCCGCGCUAACGUGG
rnacentral:rRNA from 1 species